rnacentral:lncRNA from 1 species
UUUUUUUUUUUCUUUUAAGCUAAGUGUAAACUUAUAUAAGCUCAAAAAUCGCACUCCUGGGCAUUUAUUCCAGGGAAAUGAAAACUAUAUCCACAUAGGACUUACCCACGCUUGAUCACAGUAGCUUAAUUUGUAACAGUCAAAAACUCGGAACAACCAAAAUGUCCUUUAAUGGGUGAAUGGUUAAUUACACUUCAGCAUAUCCAGACCAUGGAAUGCUACUCAGAAAUAAAAAAGAACUACUGAUCCAUGCAACAAGUUGAAUGGAUCUCAAAGGCAUUAUACUGAGUGAAAAAAGCCAAUAUCCAAAAGUCAUAUACUGAAUGAUUCCAUUUAUAUAACAUUCUCAAAAAUACAUAACUACAAAGACGGAAAACACACACAUAGUCGUUAGGGGUUAGGGAGGUGUGUUUGUAUAUGUGUGUGUAAAGAAGUAUGGAAAGGGAGACUUUGUGAUAUGGAAUGGUAUCCUGACUGUGGUGGUAGUUACAUGAAACUACUCACGAGAUAAAGUAACAUAUAUAUGUCAUUACACACACACAUUGUCACAGUGUUUACUUCCUGGGUUUGAUACUGUACUAUAAUUAUAGGACAUAACCAUGGGGGUAGGGGUCCUGGGAGACAGUACAUGGCAUUUCUGUUACCUUUGUAAGUUCCUAUGAAUCUAUAAUUUCAGAUUAAAAAGUGAAAAAUAAAAAAGCUUUGUCCAGGAUGUGGGGGGGAUGUGGGGGGAACACACAAUUUGUUUCCCAAAUAAGUAAAAAAUUAUUUUAAAAAUAACACAGAUUUAAAAACUAACAGGUGAAACUACAAUAGAAAUCAACAUGUUUGUCAGAUUAGGAGAUAUUUAAUGUGGAGAAAUAGGCUUUAACAUUUCUCAUAUAUUGAUAUUGAGAAAAUAACUGAAGACUCAAACUUUGGCCUCAACAUCAUAAACAUAGGGACUAUGUUUUCUGAGUUGCUAUAAGAUUCUAAAAUUAAACUUUGUUUUGAAAAAAAAAUUUCUUUUUUAUGGUUCAGAAUCUUGCAUGGAUUGAAAUAUGUUUUUAAAAUAGUACUGGAGACAAUAAGGCAUUAACAUAUGAACUUACUCAUGCUUAUGAAGAUACCAAGGAAGUGUAUGAGAUUAGAAAUUAAAAAGACAUUUUAAUACAUUCAUAGUGUUCUCUGAAACGGUUUCUCAAAACUAUUUUCAAGGAAAAAUUGCAUAUAACUCAAAUGGAACAAUUCCAGAAUUUUAAUGAUUUCCUACUCCAGAUUGAAAUGCUUUAAACUUAUUUUAACAAGAAAUUAAAAGAAAAAAAUUAGCAUCAAAGAAAAAGGAUUUGGGGCAGAACUGACUUCUUGAUCUACCGAACUUAAAAGGAAUGAAUCAUUUUUUUCUUUUUAAGUUCCCCAGUUUCUAUGUAACUGACUUAGAAGAACAUGAUUCUGUGAUCUCAUAUUUGACACUUCCUAAGUGUUCCUCAUUCAUUCUAUAUUUUAAAUGACCAUUCUAACAGAGAAGUGUGUUAAGUCAGUGGCAAAGUAUUAAAAACGUGUGCCUUGCAAAUUUAAGUUCCGUUUUAAGUAUGGAAAGCUGUUCUAGAGUUGGUGAUGCAAAAAAAGUAAUUUUCCUACCCUCUGGCCUAUCUCAGAAUAUACCGGGCCAAUUUAGGAUAUCUUCCCCUUCUUGCCUUUCUCUACAUGUGUCACUAGGGUACAGGCUGUUAUGGCACUUCUGGGAUUGAAAGCAAAGAUAAUGAAAAAGUUAGGUGUGCAGUGUAAUAUGAAAUCCCAAUUUCUACAUACAGCUACUCUAUUAUUUGUUUGGCCUUGGGAAUGAAACUUUUGGUAGACAGUACAACCCAAGAAUGGAUCCAAUAGAACUUUUGGGAGCAAUGAUCCACUAUGCUUUGCUACCAAGAAAGAGGAGUUUCACAGCGGGUUUUAUCAUCAGAAGGGACUUAUGAGACCCAUCUGGUCCAAUUCAUUUUAUUUCAGGAUGACAGAGUAUCCUAAUUGAUCUAGUACUAAAGGUUCCGCCAGUAUCUAUAUUAUGGCCUCUACUUUGUAGAAGAGAGACCAAGCUUAAUCAUUAGACCUAGUGGCUGGGAUGUUACUUGGGAACUCUGACUUCCCUUUUAGAGCUGAAUAUUUCCAUUAUUAUCUUCCGUAGAUGGACACCAGGGAUCCUCUCCCCAGAAUAAGAUGUUAAAAAGGAUAAAAGAGAGAUAAAGCAAGGCAGGUUAGCAGAGAUGUAAAAGAGCAUACCAAAUUAAUGGGAUGUCUGGGUAGCUCAGUGGUUGAGUGUCUGCCUUUGGCUCAGGUCGUGAUCCUGGGGUCCUGCUAUCGAGUCUCACAUAGGCUCCCCUUGAAGAGUCUGCUUCUCCUUCUGCCUCUAUCUCUGCCUCUUUCGCUGAGUCUCUCAUAAAUAAACAAAAAUCUUUUAAAAAAACCAGCAUAUCAAAUUAAAAAGAACUUUUUCCUAUAUGGAUAUCAUAUCUUCCUGAUUUUGAACACGUUUUCAAAUAACACAUUUUCUAUAUAAAUAGAACAAAACUGCAUCUCUGUUACAAACACUAUUAAUUAACUUAGAAAUCUGCUUUUAUUCUGUCUUCCAAAGCGAGUCUGUAUAGCAAGAAACUAUUUCUCAGCAUCUACAAUCAGGACAGCUAUAGAAACAAGUCUGGCACAGCUGACAAAUUCUUUCUCCAUUGAUCUUUAUAAAGCAUAAGUCAUGUUAAUUAAAUAACCUAUAAUUAGUAUCAGUGUACAAAAUCUUUGCCAUAUCAUGUUGAUAUGUUACAGAAAAUGUUAGCAUUUUCUGCACAAUGGUUUCUAAAGAUGGAAGCAUCAUAUGGAGAAUAUAGCUAGAGCAACUGCUAUAAUUUGAAUAAUGUGAAAUAUAUAUAAAGAAAAUGGAGGAAAAAAAAAUCCCAAAUGUUACUUUUGGUUCCAAAUGGUAACAUGACUUCUUUUAUCUCCUUUCUUUACCCAAAUCUUGUUAAAAUGAGAAUAAGAUAAUAAAAAUGGCCAGAAGAACAAGAGAGAGACAAAGCAGAGGAAUGAGCAGUAGCUACCCUAACAGGACAGUGGAAAUUACAUCUAAGUGUGUGCUGGAAGAUCCCAGUGAUAAGGGAGUGGAUUUUCCUAGCAAUGCCCCCAAAGAGACAGGCCACUGGAGCAGGAUGGGAGCCUGGGCUGGGGGUGGUGGUGGUGGGGGGGGCUAGAAACCAAGAUGAAAAUAUAGAGCCUGUGAAACUCCAAACACAGUACUGCUGGGCCCCUGAGACCCUCACCCUGAUAGGGCAUGGAGGCCCCCACCCCCACCCUACUUCUGCCAGCACCCACAGGACUCCAGGUGGACAGCAUGGGCCAAAAGCAAGACUGACUGGUGCCAAGUGUUGGGGUCUUUGUCUUUUACUCCCUCUGCCUAGCUGUCAAUGCCAGCAGCCAGACACAAAAUGCUUUCUGGGAAGGACUUUUUCCUUUGGCAGAAACUCAUCAGCCCAGGUAGGGGUGCAUCCAUGCACAUGCAUGCACAUAUGCACUGGAGCAGAGGGAAAGGGGGCACCUCCUGGAACUUUAGGGGGUUCCAAUUUGGAGAAAGCUAGCUCAGCAUAGGAUUCAUAUACAGUACAUUCCACCAUCCACAGGUCCCACCUUCUCAUACUGAGAUCUUGAUCAGAUUUCUCAGUAACUCCCUUUUAAAUGGUAAUAGGCAGACAAGCAUCUAACUUGAAAGCCAGAGACCCAAAAAAUCAAACAGAAAAAAGGAACCUGGAGGAAAACAAGAUAUCCAAAGGACAUUUUUCUUCAAAAACUUCAAAAGGCCUAGGAAAUUGUCUAGUGAAGUAAGUAAAGCUAUUGUAGCCCUAAAAUAAAAACCAAAUGCUCCUUAAAAAAAAAAAGGCAAAAUAAGAGUUGAAAAUUAAAUAUUUAAUCGAAACAAAGAUUCCAUAGGAGGAUUUGAAGGAAAAUCAAGGAACUCUCGCAGAAGGUAGAGCAAAAAUCAAACAACAGAAUUAGGAAAUAAUUAUGAAAAAAGUGAUAAAAAGGAGGUUCCAUCCAGAAGGUCCAAUGUUCAAGUAAUAAACAUUCUAGGCAAAGAGAACAGAGGUUAAAGCAGGGAAGAAAUUAUUUAAGAAAGAAUACUAAAAAGUCACGGGUAUCCAGAGCUGGGAAGAGCAGUCUAAAAAAAAAAAAACAAAAACAAAAACAAAAA